GAAUUUAUAUUUGUCCGAAGAAAUAAAAACACUAGACUUAACUUUAUUUUACAAAUGCUUUCAAAAAUCAUUAAAGAUAAGAAUGUCCAAUGUAGAUACAAAAAGUUGUGUUUGGAUAUGUCAAAAAGAGACGGAAUACAAAAGGAAUAUACAAAACUAAUAAUUAAUAAAGCUAGGUUUAACAAAAGAGUAAUAAAAACCAAACCAAACAAAGAAAAUUAAGAAGAAUAGUCAACAAUUCUACACAGAAAAACAAACCGUAACAACCUGAAAUUCACAAAACUCGGGUACGGUGGGAGGUGUAUCAAGUCCAGCAGGAGGGUCAACAGAUCUUACUCCACAAUGGACACUCGUCGUGGCACCCAUAGAAAAAUUAAUGAUAACACAUUUUUUUUAUUUAUGCAUCUUAUAAUAACGCAUAGAAAAUUGUUUUUGUUCAGCUCUGAGACUUAACAUAAAUAUAUAAACAUCUGAUGUAUCAGAUGUUUUGUGAAAAUGCGCAUAAUUUGAAUGUAAUAACUUGAGACUUUAGAAUCAAUCCCGAGCGC
rnacentral:lncRNA from 1 species